UGGGGAAUAUUGGACAAUGGGCGCAAGCCUGAUCCAGCCAUGCCGCGUGAGUGAUGAAGGCCCUAGGGUUGUAAAGCUCUUUCAGCGAGGAGGAUAAUGACGUUACUCGCAGAAGAAGCCCCGGCUAACUUCGUGCCAGCAGCCGCGGUAAUACGAAGGGGGCUAGCGUUGUUCGGAAUCACUGGGCGUAAAGCGCACGUAGGCGGACUUUUAAGUCAGGGGUGAAAUCCCGGGGCUCAACCUCGGAACUGCCUUUGAUACUGGAAGUCUGGAGUCCGAGAGAGGUGAGUGGAACUCCGAGUGUAGAGGUGAAAUUCGUAGAUAUUCGGAAGAACACCAGUGGCGAAGGCGGCUCACUGGCUCGGUACUGACGCUGAGGUGCGAAAAGCGUGGGGAGCAAACAGGAUUAGAUACCCUGGUAGUCCACGCCGUAAAACGAUGGAAGCUAGCCGUCAGGGUGCAUGCAUCUUGGUGGCGCAGUUAACGCAUUAAGCUUCCCGCCUGGGGAGUACGGUCGCAAGAUUAAAAACUCAAAGGAAUUGACGGGGUCAUAGCUGUUUCCU
rnacentral:rRNA from 1 species